UCCAAGAUCUCUUCUUCGACCUCAGAAAUUUUGGUAUCUUUGUCUUUCUCCGCCUUGAGCCUGGUCUGCUUCGCAUACUCGCUAGAAAACGAGUAAUCGGGAAGCUGCGUAAAAUACAAGCCACCCACGGUUCCACGACACUCGCGAUAAUCCACGAACACCUUGUAACACCCUUUGAGCUCUCCAAACGAUUGCGAAAACCUAUCACGACAGCUUUUCAUAACUUCGACUAUCUCCCUCUUCCCCCGCU
rnacentral:lncRNA from 1 species